UAGGGAAUCUUCGGCAAUGGACGAAAGUCUGACCGAGCAACGCCGCGUGAGUGAAGAAGGUUUUCGGAUCGUAAAACUCUGUUGUUAGAGAAGAACAAGGACGUUAGUAACUGAACGUCCCCUGACGGUAUCUAACCAGAAAGCCACGGCUAACUACGUGACAGCAGCCGCGGUAAUACGCAGGUGGCAAGCGUUGUCCGGAUUUAUUGGGCGUAAAGCGAGCGCAGGCGGUUUCUUAAGUCUGAUGUGAAAGCCCCCGGCUCAACCGGGGAGGGUCAGUGGAAACUGGGAGGCUUGAGUGCAGAAGAGGAGAGUGGAAUUCCAUGUGUAGCGGUGAAAUGCGGAGAUAUAUGGGGGAACACCAGUGGCGAAGGCGGCUCUCUGGUCUGUAACUGACGCUGGGGCUCGAAAGCGUGGGGAGCAAACAGG
rnacentral:rRNA from 1 species